AGGACUUGGAGAUCUGGAAAAUAGUCAGGGUGGUAGAUCUCGAGGACCAGGAAUGAGCAGCCCUGAACUACACAGUAGAAGAUGCAAGGUCAAACCAAUUAGGGUCCUAUUUAACACCAGACCUGUCCCUGAUUUCAGGAGAAACCCUGCUCUUUCACCUGCCAUAACUCUUUAAUCAUUUAAACAAUUAACAGUUCUAACAGAUUCUGAAGCUGAGAAAAGCAGCAUUGACACAAAGCUGCUUUUAUCCAGAGUCAGUUGGUUUGUGUAAACACUCUACCACUGUAAAGUGCUGCAUAUCUGCUUUUUUGAUACUUUUAGAAUCCAUGAACAGUUGAAGGAGCGCCAACUCUGUAGCAAAUGUUCCAUUGUUAAAUGGUUCAGAAGGUUGAAGAGAAGGAACUAUAAAAACGGAAACAAGUAUGUGUAGUCUUUAUGUUUUAUUAAUUUCUCCCAAAUUCCCUUUCUCUUAAAAACAACCAAAUAAAAUUGAUUAAGUUCCUGACUUUUAUUUUGAUGGUCCCACUGCUACUUCCGGUUUGUUCGCGGCAUUCCCCUCAGUUUCCGACUACUGAGAAAAGUAAACUCCCUCAUUCUGGAUGGCGUUCCCUGUAUGAGACUCUUUAUUCAACUCUGACACAGCGUGGAAGACUUCAGCCGGCGCUACACACACCCCGCAGCAAGAGUGAGCCCAGCUACAUAUGCAGUUUCACAGUUGUCGUGUAACUGGGGUUUGGACAUCUGUGUGUCGGAUUCUUGUCAGAAAAAGAGGAAGAGCUUUAGGUAGAAAACAGAGAUACGGUCUCUCCAUCCGAGCUCCUGCAGAUCUCCACAGGUGAUCAUAAGACAGAUGGUUUGUUCUGUGUAUUAUCAUCUUCUGCAGGUUACCAUGGCGAUGCACCCCAUUAUGAAUCAGGCUCUUUGGUGACACUAAAAGCUGCAGUUCUCCUCUGAAGCAGUUCAAAAACGGCUUUCUUUGGUCGGGAUGACUCAUUGCCCUCCUCAUCACUGUAGAGGCAGGAAUGUGGUUGUUUGGACCCGACUCCGUGUCCCGCACGCCGUC
rnacentral:lncRNA from 1 species